rnacentral:SRP_RNA from 1 species
AAGGGAAGCAAAUCCAGCAGUGGCAAGGGGACCAAGAGUGGUGGCG